UACAGAAGCCCCGAGCAUUACCCGGAUUCACUGGGCGUAAAGGGUGCGUAGGCGGUUAUAUUAGUCGGGUGUUAAAUCCUGGGGCUCAACCUCAGGCUCGCAUUCGAAACGGUAUAACUAGAAGGAGUGAGAGGUGUGUGGAACUCACGGUGUAGGAGUGAAAUCCGUUGAUAUCGUGGGGAACACCAAAUGCGAAGGCAGCACACUGGCACUUUCUUGACGCUGAGGCACGAAAGCGUGGGUAGCGAACGGG
rnacentral:rRNA from 1 species